GGUCUAGGUAUAUUUUGCCAACGGCCUGUCUCGAUUGGAAUACGUAAGUUCGAUGUCCUUAAUUUAGUUACCCACCCUCUAUUCUGUUCAGAUAGUCUGAUCAGAUAUUUUUCUAGUCCAAAGUCCUUUUUGAAUGUCCCAUAAAAUUGUCCCCGGGAUGAAUUUUCUAUAUCGCCAAACCAUGAGGUAAUAAACUGAUCACUCAAUAUACGAUCAAGAUAAUUUUUAUCACAAAAGCCAAUUUGGUUUAUGAAAAUAUAUCCUAGACCAGUGUUGUUAAAUAUUGAUUCGACAGAAUCAAUCCAUUUGAAAACAUAAUGGCCAUGAUUCUUCAAUGAUAACAUCAGCCUGUACAAAGAACUACUUAGUUU
rnacentral:lncRNA from 1 species